CCUUCCGAAAGGAGGGCUAAUACAGCAUGAGACCAGGUCCCGCAAGGGAGUGAGGUCAAAGCCGGCCUCUGUACACAAGCUGGCGCUCGGGGAUGAGCCUGCGGCCCAUCAGCUAGUUGGUAGGGUAAUGGCCUACCAAGGCGAAGACGGGUAGCUGGUCUGAGAGGAUGAUCAGCCACACUGGAACUGAGACACGGUCCAGACUCCUACGGGAGGCAGCAGUGGGGAAUCUUGCGCAAUGGGCGAAAGCCUGACGCAGCGACGCCGCGUGAGUGAUGAAGGCCUUCGGGUUGUAAAGCUCUGUGGAGAGGGACGAAUAAGUCGGAGCGAAUAGCUCCGAUGAUGACGGUACCUCUUUAGCAAGCACCGGCUAACUCUGUGCCAGCAGCCGCGGUAA
rnacentral:rRNA from 1 species